AACAGCACGAGAAAGAGCUUCAGGACGGGGGCCGGGCACGCCAGGCUCCCUGGGCCGUCUAAGGCUGAGGUCAUCACAGGGCCAGGGAGAGCCACUGGCAUCUUCCCAGAGACUUUGGUCUUUCCAAUCCUGCUGAGCAACAUUGGCAGCGGGAGUGAGGAGGAGGAACUCAGAUCCCCCAAGGCCUCGGCUGAGAACGCCCUUUCUGGUCUUGGGCCUUCUCCAGCUCAGACACAUCCAGGGACCCACACACGGAGAACUCACGAGCUGGCCAGGCCCCACCCCCGGGCAUCCAGGACUGCCGAUCCCUUACAGGCGACCAGCCACAGGACACGUAUAUUGAGCAUGAGGAGCCUUCGUCAUACAAAGGGUCUCAAAGAACUUCCCCCGAGACAUUGCAAAAUAGCAAUGAAAACCAUCAAGAUGGUGGGACACAUAAAUUAACAAAAAAAAAAAAUGACCCAUGAAGAAUAAAAAUAACCAGAUACUCAGACAAUGAGGUCCCUAGCAGAGGUGGUGGAGGGCUAUGUUCAAGAACAUGGACUCCAGGGUCAGACUAACCCGUUUAAGCAUCAUCAGUUCCAUGACCGACUAGUUAUCUAAACGUGGGCAAGUGGUUUAACCUCAAAGAGCUCCAGCUUCCCUGUAUUCAAAUAAUGGUACCUUCCCCACAGGGUUGCUGCAAAGAAUCGAUGGGAAGAAACCUGCCAAGGACAGACCACAGCAUCUGGAACAAAGGACACAUCCCAUAAACACUAGCCCUUAUCGCUGCUGUUUUGAGGUUUGACACAGUUGCCGUGCCUGAGCCAAGAAUUUGGUUUUGAGCUUCCAGGUGGCCAAAGCAAAAAUGGAAAUACUGUCCGUGAGACAGUUCCUGUUAUCCAUAAGGAGAAAAGAAAAAGGAGGAUGAGGGGAGCAACGCAUCUUCCUGGCGGUAGCCUCUAAAAGACCUCAGAAAGGCUUCUAAAGUCUUGGGAGCUGGGUCAGUGACAGCACAGCAGGCAUGUCCCUUACCCACUUUGGUCAGCAAAAGCAGAAAUGCCCUUCAUGGGUAUUGUCUCGAUGCCGAAACGGAGUCUCUGGUGCCACCCACUCCAGCUGGAACCUGCACACUUAACCUCUGUUAUGUGUCCCCCUGGGGCCCUCAGAAUCACCCCCCACCAAGGAAAAUCAUGCCUAAGUCCCUGGGUGACACACCAGCCCUGCCAACCACCUUGUUGAAGAGUCUACUGGAGUCAUCUUACGCUGCCAUGGUUCUGAAUGCUGGUGAAGACAGCAAGUGUGCAGUCGGCACACAUCUGCUUGAUUCAGAGCUGGCCUGAGGGCUGACCACCUACCCUCAGGUCCCCUAAAGGGGGGAGCCUGACUCACACGCCCUCACCACCUUCUGUUACUCUUGGUCCUUGACAAAGGACCAGCUACGUAAUUUGUGGGGCCCAGCACAAAAUGAAAAGGUGGGGGCCCUUGUUCAAAAAUGGUGAGGAAUUUCUAGAUGGCGACAGCAGAGCGUUAAACCAAGCGGGGAGCCGUCCUAAGUGGGGGGCCCGGUGCGCACGAGCAGACAGGAUGCACCUGGAGCCAGCCUUACUUUAAGCACCCCCCCACCAACCAAGAACAUACAAAAAUGGGCCUUUCACCAACACCGACCCCACACCAGGCUCUGAGGCCAGAAAGCAACAAAAAUCAUGAAAAGAGCAAGGACUUUAGCACCAAAGAACCUGAACCUGAAUCCUCGCUGGGCCACUCACAAGCCGGGUGACAUUUGCAGUCAAGGGGCAUGAAAACAACAAUAGCCCAAGGAUGUCUGCCCGGCCCCCAGCAAUCAUCUAAGCCCUUUCCUGCCUCCUCUGAGCACCUGCCAGGCCCACGAGGUAAACAGAAUCCUCAGAUCCAUCAUCCAGACAAGGAACGCAGGGACAUCAGAGCUGGGAGCCUGCAGCCCAGGGAGCCAGACUGGAGCCCCAGAAAGGCCCGUGGGACCCAGGAGCCCAUCCUCCCUUCUCCAGGCAGGAGGGACCACCCACAAGCUGGAGCUGCCCAGUCUGCAUGGAAGAGUCCAUUGGUGGCAAAAUCCCACAAUUAGGCACUGUCUUCCAGAAGAAAUCCCGGCACCCCAGUUGGCCCAAUUAGCCUCCCACAGCGUCUGCAUCAGGAGAAUUCAUUCAUCCACCUGAAGGCUAUUUCGUGUCAUGGCUGAAAGUUACCUGCACAGUCUUGCCACUUCCCACCUGUGUGACCUGGAGCAAGUUACCGCUCUCUGCCUCAGUUUCUUCACAUAAACAUACUGUUUGAAGCGACGCCACGGCCUGAGCAAACUGAAGUAAAUCAGACAGCAAUUCGGGCUGGGAAGUCAGGUGGGCCGGGGUUCCAAUCCAGGCUUUGCCACUCAUUCGAGAGUGGUUUGCCACUCAAAAGGUGUUCCCAAAAGCAGCUCCCGCAGCACGCUCCACUGCUAACGGCUCCGUGACACUGCGUCCAAAUCCUGGAAGUCACAUCGUGCAGUGAGUGCUCCACUACGAGACACGCUCAUGAGAGCUGGGGACUGAAGGCACAGCUGUCCUUGUCAGGAAUGUGCGGGCAGUAAGACAAGUCACAUGCUGUUUAUCAGGAAAUUGGGUCAAAACCCGAAGAAAUACUCUGAAUUCCUGGCAGUAAGGCCACCGAUCCCCCUGAGGGGUCGGGGAUCUGUUGCUACGCUGUGUACACAACCACAGACGGGUACAACAGGAAUAAAAUGGGGUAGGGCCCGAAGACGGAGAACUCCCAUCUGGCUGGGGACGGGAAGGAAGGGCAGUUGAAGGUAAUCGAGCUUUAAACCAGCAAGCUCAACCGGCCGGUCUUUAAUAACCCACUCAUGCUCCCUCGGAACAACCAGCCUCGCUUCUCUCCUAAUCUUAUCUUCAGCUGCUGCCAUCUGUUCUAGAAUGCGGCCACUCUCCCCUUUGCAGGCUGUUUUCAAGUAGGAAAAAAAGGAGUUGAGUGCCCCCAGGCCCUCGAAGCCCACUGAUCCCCAUCAGUCAUCCCCCUUUCCUGCCCCCCCACAACACAGUGAGCUGUGUAUGGCCUUGAAUUCACACUUGACCCAGGAGCCAGUCAGCGUCAUUCGCAAUGUUUUAAAAGCCAGAGAAGAUAGAUGUUGACACGAUCUGGCAGCUUCCUCUCCCUGAAUCACUGCCCAGAUCUUUCAAUAAAGGAUGUGCCUCUCCUGGCUCUUACGACCUGCCUACCUGAAGAGGAGCAGGGGAACAAAAUGUGUCCCGCCUGCCUGUGCGGGAGCUUUUUCAGUAAUUUCAGAGCCACUCGAGUGAUGGGAGAUUGGCUGACAGGAGGAAAACACUCUAAGAUCUACCAGAUUUGUCCCUGAAGGAGAGAAAAAAGGGUGAAAAAUGAGGGGCAUGAAGAGUCACCAGAGCAGGUCCUUUCCUGCUAACAGCUUUCAUUGACUUCUGGUCCCAUGGCUCUUCUUGUGCAGAGGAGAGGCCAAGAGUGCCGAGAAAGGCGGAAUAUUAGCCACGGGCUCAGCUUUCCCAUCCACGGAAGUGGGGUUGCACUGCCUGACCUGCAGGGCCGUGUACGUUUACACAAAGAACCUGGCACGUAAUGGGCCUCCCUGGCUAGAAGCACGCAGAUUCAAUGUAUGGCCUCCGACAAGCUGCUUCACCUCUCAGAACAUCGGGGCUUUCUUCCCCCCAUAAAGUGGAAGUGGUUCAAUCUUCAGGGAAUUUGUGUAAGACGUUACACAAGAUCUGCCUCACUGUAAGCUGUUUUGUACCUUCUCUCCAAGAAGUUGAGCAGGUCUGAGCUUUGGCACUAAAUGGAAUGGGCAGUUUCUGUGCGUGUAAGGGGCAAUAUUGGGGGCAUCCUUCUCUCCAGACGAGUUGACAGGACAUGAAGUUGCCCAGAGGAGCAUUCAGUCCAGGAUCUGGGAUGUGUAAAGGGAGAAGAAUCACGUAGGUGAGACACAUGAAAGGGGUGCAGUAUGCUUCGUACCAAGCACAGGCACAGUGGUUAAGCACAGAGGCUAAGGCAGGCAGCCAGUCUGAAUCUUGGCUCUUCCACUGCACACCCUCGGGCUGGGAUCUUAACCUCACCACCUCCUAUCCCAUAAGUAGAGACGCUAUGAGGAUUAGUUAAUAUAAAUGGAGUUGUUCUUGGAAUACUACCUGGCAUCGAGAAAGCUGUUAGCAAUUGUAGCAGAGAUUUUUACUCUCCAGAUAUCCGUAGGUUUCCCCUAUUUCAUAGCCUCUCUUGCGGUCAGAUUGGCUCAUGUGACCCAUUGCAGGUCAAAGGGAUGAGAACAAGUGUCACAUGUUUCAGGACUGAAGCGUGUAACAGCUGGUGCCUGUUUGCCAACUUUUCCUCCCCUGCCUCUGCAAUCGUGGAAGCCGUGUGCUGAGAUGUAAGAGCCACACAGUGGAAGUCAUCUGAGUCGCUGAGUCACUGCGUGGAGAACAGCUUGCCCUGGAGUUACCCAACCUGUAUCGACGAUUAUUAAGAAAUAAACCUUUGUUGUAUUAAGCCCUGAAGUCUCGGAGCCUACCCUAUCCUGCCCAGUACAGCGAUUAUUAGACUCGUACUCGAGGGUGAUUACGAUGAGAAAAGGAGAGGCAAAUUUUAGAAAAUGAGGAAACAUUUACUGAGCCUACCAUGUUCCAGGCAUCAUGCUUGGUGCUUUAUUUUUAAUAAUUCUGUUGCUGCUGUGGAAGUGCAACUGGGUCUCAACUGAUAGGGGGACAUCUGACAAUGAAAUGUCUGGAGGCAUCUUGGGUGGUCACAGCUGAAGGGGUACGACUGGCACCUAGUGGGUAGCGGUCAGGGACACUGGUCAACACCCCUAUAGACUGUGUACAAACAGAAACCCUCCAUCGCAGCCCAAACCAUUUCUCAGAGGGAAUCACCAUGGCCACCGGUUUCUUCUACCUUCCGGAUACCCGGAUAUACUCCGCCUAGAGAAGGAUAGGCAUGUGUAGAUCCUUUUUUGUACUCAGGUGGGGGGAAAAAACCACACACCUGGAUCUGCACAUGUGUAUUCUGGAGUUCAUUCCAGAUCCGAACCAACGUACCUACCUCAGCGGUCAAGGAAACAGAUCCUAAUUUCUCACACGGGCCACAAGGGAAGGCCCGCCCCCUAGACUUCCCAAAGGCAACCCCCGAGAUUGAUUUAACUGGCCGGGGAGGGGCCUGCGUACCCACUCGGGUUCCAGUCAAGGUGGAGAGCCACAGGACUAAGCCCUCCACCUGGGCCCUGGAUCUCGGGGCCUCCAGAAGCCUCGGGCAUCUCACUCCACCCAGCGACUUCGUCUCGCUCCCUCUAUUCCCUUCCCCACCAGCCCACAUGUCAUCACCUCCCUCAACCACGUCCUCCAUCAGCCACCACCACGGCUCUUUCUUUCCCUUCACAGCCCAGGGUUUCUCCACUCACUCACUUUCAAUUCACCCUUCAAACCAUUUAGGUUCCUCCCUCCCAGGUCACCAAGCUCUUUAAUUUUCAGAUGGUGAUUUUUUGAAAUACUUCCCUGUUACUUCCGUGACUUUAGCAACAUUCAGCUGUUUGGCUGGAAAUUAACAGUCAAGCAGUCAUAAAAGUGCAACCCUAUUAAUCCAGGACAGAAAGACUGGUGGCAACCAAGCUAAAGAUACUAACUAAACCAGUGAAUGCAGGCGUUUCUUCUUCCUGGUCCUCCAGUUUGGGGAAUCGGUAUUUGCAGCAAGCAGAGGUACACUUAGCAAUACCAAGAGAAAAAGCCCUAACAAAACUGGGUAUAGUUUGGCACGUGUUAAGAUGGAGACUGUUUACCAGACAGCCAAAUCAAAAUAUCAAAUAAGCAAUCUGAGAACUCUAGAGUUGAGACGAGAUAAGCUGGACAUAUAAAUUUGAGUCUUCAAUAUAGAUGGUACCUAAAGGCAUGCAAUGGAGAUGGUCUCAACAAGGGAAUGAACGUACAGAAAUCCAAGAGCAAAUCCUCGGGAGGAUGAAGAGGAACAGGCAAGAGACUGAGGAGCAAGGCAGCACGUGAGCGCAGAACGGAGGCUAAGAAGGUGGUUCCAGAAGGAACAGCCAACCCUGUCAAACAGCACUGAAGGUCAAGUGCGGAGAGCACUGGCCCUCGCCAUCUGGUCCUCACUGCUGACCCUGACAAGCAGUCCCAGCGGAGGCCGAGCCUGACUGUCUUCAAAGUGAAAAAUGGAAAAUCUCGUACAGAAAACUCUUCUAAGGAAUUCUACCGUAAAAAGGAACAGGAACUGGAGACAGAAGUGGCCUGAGAUCAACCCAUCCUGAGUCAUAAACAGAAGAUUUUUAAAAGGCCAUCUAACUCUCUUGUAAUAUUUCAGAAGCAAGGAAAUCCCAUAAUGUUCUCCUUCAACGGUUUCUGCCUACCAGAAAUUAUUUCACAGCCAAAGACUUUUGGCUCACAGAGGCAGGGUCACAGGGCAUUUAAGUCUUAAGUGCUAGUGUCACAUUACUACAUGUAAUACACACAUCGUUUAGCCCACCAGGAAGGAAAUAUACGUGAUAACUUGCCCAAGGCCGCCCUACCCCAGGACACGCACCACAGAGAAAGGCACACUGCAGACAUAUUAAUUUCUUGCUAUUUUUCAAAACAGCUGUUAGAUAAAAUCACAAGUGAUUUCCUUCCUGCUAAGAUACAGACCAUGAAUAUUUUCCUAACUAUGUGUGUGAACGUGCGUGUGACACGUGCUAACUGAGUUUCCUAAGGGAAAUUCUGCACAACAUCCGGGUCAAAGAGCACUUUGCAUUAUCAAAAAGGAUAAACCAGAGGGGGAAAAAAUGCACGACAAAGAGUCUUUACUUUUAAAUGAUUAUCUGUACACCAAGGGAUAACAUGUAACAAGUUCUUGAAUUCUAUCAUCUAGCAAUUUUGACUUAGAUACACUAAAAGCAGCCCAAGCAAUUAUAGUGGUGUUCAUUGUUCUAACCCUCAGGCAGAAACGACUAUUUUAAGGCCGGCUGCUGCUUCACACGUUACAAAUGACUAUUUACUACUUUUUCAUAGAGAAGCCCCUGACCUUCAAGAAAGCUUUAGGGAAAAAAAUA